GAUGAACGCUGGCGGCGUGCCUAAUACAUGCAAGUCGAGCGAACGGACGAGAAGCUUGCUUCUCUGAUGUUAGCGGCGGACGGGUGAGUAACACGUGGAUAACCUACCUAUAAGACUGGGAUCACUUCGGGAAACCGGAGCUAAUACCGGAUAAUAUUUUGAACCGCAUGGUUCAAAAGUGAAAGACGGUCUUGCUGUCACUUAUAGAUGGAUCCGCGCUGCAUUAGCUAGUUGGUAAGGUAACGGCUUACCAAGGCAACGAUGCAUAGCCGACCUGAGAGGGUGAUCGGCCACACUGGAACUGGGACACGGUCCAGACUCCGACGGGAGGCAGCAGUAGGGAAUCUUCCGCAGUGGGCGGAAGGCUGACGGAGCAAAGCCGCGUGAGUGAUAAAGGUCUUCGGAUCGUAAAACUCUGUUAUUAGGGAAGAACAUACGUGUAAGUAACUGUGCAAAACUUGACGGUACCUAAUCAGAAAGCCACGGCUAACUACGUG
rnacentral:rRNA from 1 species